UACAGGGGGUGCAAACGUUGCUCGGAAUUAUUGGGCGUAAAGCGCGCGUAGGCGGCCACUUAAGUCGGAUGUGAAAGCCCCUGGCUCAACUGGGGAAGUGCACCCGAAACUGAACGGCUUGAGUGCGAAAGAGGGUCGCGGAAUUCCCGGUGUAGAGGUGAAAUUCGUAGAUAUCGGGAGGAACACCGGUGGCGAAGGCGGCGACCUGGGUCGAGACUGACGCUGAGGCGCGAAAGCGUGGGGAGCAAACAGG
rnacentral:rRNA from 1 species